rnacentral:rRNA from 1 species
UACGUAGGGGGCGAGCGUUGUCCGGAAUCAUUGGGCGUAAAGCGCGCGUAGGCGGCCCGGUAAGUCCGCUGUGAAAGUCCAGGGCUCAACCCUGGGAUGCCGGUGGAUACUGUCGGGCUCGAGUCCGGAAGAGGCGAGUGGAAUUCCUGGUGUAGCGGUGAAAUGCGCAGAUAUCAGGAGGAACACCGGUGGCGAAGGCGGCUAUCUGGACCGACAUUGACGCUGAGGCGCGAAAGCGUGGGGAGCAAACAGG